AAAAAGACAGCAAAAGAGCUAGACAAUGUACUUGGAGAAUGGUUACACGAACACAAGCAGACGAGAGCUUCCGGCAUGGCAAAGAAAAGAGAGGAAGACUUCAUGGAUGAGUUACUGUCCAUCAUGGAUGACGCAAAAGAGUUCUCUAGCCAAGAUGUUGAUACUAUUAUCAAAUCUACGUGCCUGGCUCUUAUUCUAGCUGCUUCAGACUCUACAGCGGUAACACUAACUUGGACUUUGUCAUUGCUACUCAACAAUCGUCAUGUUUUAAA
rnacentral:misc_RNA from 1 species